CUUUGAGAUCCAACUGCCUCCCAGAGGCACUAUCAACCAGAGCUGUGGGUACAUUGGGUUGAAAUCAAAGAUUCACAUCAAGUCUCCAUUAAAUAUUUCUGUACCCAGAGGUUAUAUCUGUACAACAUACAAGACUGGUACCCAUGGAGCUCAGAAUAGGGCAUUGGAUCGCCCAGAACUGAAAUUACAGAAGGUUAUGAGCCAUCAUGUGGAUGCUGAGAACUGAACCCAGAUCCACCUCAAGAGCAGCCAGUGCUCUUAACAUUCAAGCCAUCUCUCCAGCACUGGGAUAAUUUGUUAAUUCAUGAUCAUGUUGGAAUGCCUAGCCCACUAUGGGCAGUGCCACUCCUGGAAAAGUGGUCCUGGGUUAUAUGAAAAAGCAGACUGAGAAGCCAUGAGAGCAAGCCAGUGAGCAGCAUUCCUCUGUGACCUCUGCAACAUCUGCUUCAGUUCUUGCUUCUGGGUUCCUACCUUGGCUUCCCUUAACUGACUGAUUGGAAUGUAUAAGCCAAAUAAACUUUUUUCUUCC